GUUAGGAAUAUUGGACAAUGGGCGCAAGCCUGAUCCAGCCAUGCCGCGUGAGUGAUGAAGGCCUUCGGGUUGUAAAGCUCUUUAGCCGAUGAUUAUAAUGACUGUAGUCGGAAAAUAAGCCCCGGCUAACUUCGUGCCAGCAGCCGCGGUAAUACGAAGGGGGCGAGCGUUAUUCGGAAUCACUGGGCGUAAAGCGUGCGUAGGCGGCUUUGCAAGUUGGGAGUGAAAGCCCAGGGCUCAACCCUGGAAUUGCUCUCAAAACUGCAAGGAUCGAAUUCGGGAGAGGAUAGCGGAAUUGUCAGUGUAGCAGUGAAAUGCGUAGAUAUUGACAGGAACACCAGUGGCGUAAGCGGCUAUCUGGACCGAUAUUGACGCUGAGGCACGAAAGCGUGGGGAUCAAACAGGAUUAGAUACCCGAGUAGUCC
rnacentral:rRNA from 1 species